GACGAACGCUGGCGGCGUGCUUAACACAUGCCAGUCGAACGGAAAGGCCCUGCUUUUGUGGGGUGCUCGAGUGGCGAACGGGUGAGUAACACGUGAGUAACCUGCCCUUGACUUUGGGAUAACUUCAGGAAACUGGGGCUCAUAUCGGAUAGGAGCUCCUGCUGCAUGGUGGGGGUUGGAAAGUUUCGGCGGUUGGGGAUGGACUCGCGGCUUAUCAGCUUGUUGGUGGGGUAGUGGCUUACCAAGGCUUUGACGGGUAGCCGGCCUGAGAGGGUGGCCGGCCCCAUUGGGACUGAGAUAGGGCCCAGACUCCUACGGGAGGCAGCGGUGGAGAAUAUUGCACAGUGAGGGGAAGCCUGAGGCAACAACGCCGCGUGCGGGAUGACGGCCUUCGGGUUGUAAACCGCUUUCGCCUGUGACGAAGCGUGAGUGACGGUAAUGGGUAAAGAAGCACCGGCUAACUACGUG
rnacentral:rRNA from 1 species